CAGAAAUAGUAAAACAAAAGGUUGGUGAUCUGUGGAAGCAAGCAGAUGCCAAGAAGAUCUAUCACCAAAUGAAAUAAUGCAAGAAAGGGAGAAAUAGCAGUGAAAGCAAAUGGAUGCCAAGAGGAUCUUUCAGCAAAAUGGAGUGACAAUGGGAUUGAUUACAACCCUAAAAAGCAGCCGCCUAACACUCUCUCCAAAAGAAAAAGAAAGAGACAAAAAAGCUUCAAACAGCCUGCUACCUCCACAGAG